UAUGAUAUUCUUAUUGUUGGGGAUUUUCAUAUCCCCGUUGAGGUAACUUAGUGUUAUUCGAAAUUUCUCCGGUUCCGUGUUAUUCGGAAUGAGUGUGUUAACAAGACUUGAUCAACCUUGUUAGUGGGUUCAUUUUUAUGAUCACAAGAUGGAUGAAACUAGAAGGCACAACCUUCUGUACCCUCUUUUUACUUUCUGUCAUUUAGAUUAAAUAAAGCAAAAAUAGUAUUAUCCGUCUGUUUUCUGAAUUAUCCGUGCAUUAAAAAAACAGUCCGAAAAUAAAAGUGCUCCAAAUGCCCUGCAAAUUUAGUAUGAUUUUUUCUGGAAUAUUUGAGGAUUUUAGGCACUGAAAACACUGCAGGAGGGGCAAGCACCAGGCCACGAGAGAGGAGGGCGCCCCCCCCCUAUAGGGCGCGCCUCCCUGUCUCGUGGGCCCCUGGUGGCUCCCCUCCACUUAUGCCAGCACCCACACACUUCAUCUUCUACCCAAAAAAUCCCCAUCCAGCUCAAGCACGAGUUCUAGCUCGUUUUGCUGCGAUUUUCGAUCUCUUAGCUCAAAGCUCCAUUCACAAAACUGCUUUGGGAGAUUGUUGCUUGGUAUGUGACUCCUCCAUUGGUCCAAUUAGUUUUUCUUCUAGUGCUUUAUUCAUUGCAAUUUUUUGCUGCAUAGGUGACCGUGUUCUUGAGCUUGCAUGUUAAAUUUUUGAGGUCCCAAGCAAUUCCAAUGCAUGAUAUAGGCUCUAGGCACUUGUAGGAGUAGUUGCUAUCAAUCUUGUUUAGUUUUAUUCACUUUUAUUUUGAAGUUACUAAAAUUUCAGAAAUUUUCAGAAAAAGAAAUAUGCUUAGAAGAAUGUACCAAGGAGGUUCCUCGGCAAAGAAAGGGCCAAGGAUUGCUAUACAUGAGCACGAUGUUAAAUUGCCGAGGGACGCAAAUGUACGGGCUUGUGAGUGGCCAUUCGAUGAUUUUAUGGUCAAAGCAGGCUUCAAGGAGGAAUUUGAUGCGUAUGUGCGUAAUGCCGAGCUGGAGGACUUCUUACAAGAUAAGUGUCCUCAAUAUUAUCAAUUGGCUGAUUCCUUUGUGCGGAGGUUCGAAUAUAUCUCUGUGCGUAAUUCUCCUAGUGUCAUGUUUGAUAUUUAUGAUACAUCUUAUACCAUGGAUUUAGAGGAUUUCACAACUGCUUGCAAACUCCCGUAGUGGGUUAAUAUUAAUGAUCCUCCCAAAUCUGAAUUUAAAGAUUUUCUUGCUAGUAUUAUUGUGGGAGAAUCUAGGGACAUAUCACAAGCUACCAUAGGGAGUAUUCAUUUUCCUACUAUGCAUUAUUCUGCUCUGUUUAUUGGUAGAUGCAUUAACGGCAAGGACGAAGCAUGUCACAUGUGUGUCCCUGAUCUUUGUGUCCUCAAGAGUGCUGUGUCAGGUUAUAAAGGUUAUAACUUGGGGGCAAUAGUUGCACGUAGGUUGCAGAAUAAUAGUAGAAGGGGGAAUUUAUUUGAAGGAAUUUAUGCAACUCGUGUGGCUAACUUUCUUAAUAUAGCUCCACGAGAGGGGGAUAUGAUUGCACCUCCUGUUUAUUUGGAUAAAGAAGCUAUGUUUGAUCAUCAUUUUCUUGAGAGGAAUGAACAAUUCCUCCAUUAUCGACUAAUCUAUGACAGGCGCAACGUCGUCCCUGUUACUCUUUUUGCCCCCUACCUUUUUGAUUAUCAGGCAAAAGGAAGAUACGUUGUCACCAGGGACGAAGCAACUGAAUAUGAGAGGGGAAUGGAGGCAGCUCACCAACACACUGCUGCUCAGGAUGCUGUUGCCUCUGCAUCUCAGUACAACCCCAGUUUUACUUAUGGAUAUCAUCCAGGCGGUCAUUGGUACUAGACCAACUUAGGCCAAAAGCCUAAGCUUGGGGGAGUGCGUAUUUCUCACCGACUUUACAUUCAUGUUCACACACUAGUCGUCGGUGCUCAUACUCUUUCAUUGUAUUAUCCAUGCUAGUUUAAAUUUCUUUUUCUAGUUUUCUUCUUGUGUGUUUGAUAAACUUUAAGAAAAACCAAAAAAAAUAGUUAGUUUAAUUUCCAUGCUUGUAGUAAAAAUUAAAAUGAAAACCCAAAAAGAUUUCUCGUUCUUCUUUUUACUUGUUGGGAGGUUUCCCGUGUAAAUAGUUUUAUUUUCUUUUCUUUCCUUUGGGGGUCGAGAAGACCAUAUUGAAAAUGCUUAGUGGCUCUUAUAUGCAUGAUUGUUUAUUUAGCUUAGAGCCUAUAUUACUUGCAAUUUCUCUUGAGUUGAAUGCUUGCAGAUUCCAGCUUAGUCCAAUGCACGUGCACUCUUAUUAUUAUACACAUCGUUCGAUCGUGCAAGCGAAAGGCAAUAAUGACGAUAUAUGAUGGACUUAUUGGGAUGAGAAAAGCUGGUAUGAACUCGACCUCUCUUGUUUUUGUAAAUAUGAUGAUUCAUCGUUCCUGAGUCAGCUAUUAUGAAGUAAACAUAUUUGCAAUGGCAUUUAGAGAUUAUAGUUGCUUGUGCCAUGCUUGAUUAGCUAUGAGUUAUAAUGGUUUACCUUUCGUGCCAACAUGCUAUUAGAAUGAUUAUGAUGUGGUAUGAUGGGAUGGUAUCCUCCUUUGAAUGUAUUAAGUGACUCGACUUGGCACAUGUUCACGCAUGUAGUUGAAACAAAUCAACAUAGCCUUCAUGAUAUUUAUGUUCAUUGUGGAUUAUAUCCUACUCAUGCUUGUAUUCGGUGUGAAUUAAUUUUAAUGCAUGUUUAUGACUGUUGUCGCUCUCUCAGUUGGUCGCUUCCCAGUCUUUUGCUAGCCUUCACCUGUACUAAGCGGGAAUACUGCUUGUGCAUCCAAACUCCUUAAACCCCAAAGUUAUUCCAUAUGAGUCCUCCAUACCUACCUAUAUGCGGUCUUUACCUGUUGUUCCAAGUAAAUUUGUAUGUGCCAAACUCCAAACCUUCAAAUGAAAUUCUGUUUUGUAUGCUCGAGCAGCUCAUGUUACAACUAGGGCUGCCUAUAUCUUCCAUGCUAGGUGGGUUAUUCUCAAGAGGAGUGGACUCCGCUCCUCAUUCACGAGAAAGGGCCGGUAACCGGGAUGCCUAGUCCCAUGAUCCAAAACGAUCAAAGCAAAUCAAAAUAAUUAAACAAAACUCCCCCAGGGCUGUUGUAUGUUGGAGGCACUCGUUGUUUCGAGCAAGCCAUGGAUUGAUGCUUGUUGGUGGUUGGGGGAGUAUAAACCUUUACCAUUCUGUUUGGGAACUACCUAUAAUGCAUGUAGUAUGGAAGAUACAGCCAUCUCAUAGUUGUUGCGUUGACAGCGAAAGUAUGCCGCUCAAAUUGUUAUUCAAUUUCUAUUUUAAAAUCAAGCUCUGGCACCUCUACAAAUCCAUGCUUCCCUCUGCGAAGGGCCUAUCUAUUUACUUUUAUGUUGAGUCAUCACCCUUCUUAUUAAAAGCACCCGCUGGAGAGCACACUGUCAUUUGCAUUCAUUACUGUUGGUUUAUAUUGGGUAUGACUUGACUGGAUCUCUUUUACCAUGAAUUACAAUGUUUAGUCAGUCCUUGAUCUUUAAAGGUGCUCUGCAUUUAUGUUUUGCGGUCUCAGAAAGGGCUAGCGAGAUACCAUUUUGUUAUAUCAUGUUAUAGUUAUUUUGAGAAAAAGUGUUGUCAUCCGAGUUUUAUUAUUAUGGCUCGCUACCUGAUUAUGCUAUUGAUAUGAGUAAUUGUGAGGCCUAAGUGUUAUUGUGAGUAUGGUUAGUUAAUAAUAUUUGCUGAAACUUGAAUGCUGGCUUUUCAUGUUUACAACAACAAGAGCAAACAGAGUUUGUAAAAGUUUUUCUUUAUCACUUUCAGUUUAUCAACUGAAUUGCUUGAGGACAAGCAAAGGUUUAAGCUUGGGGGAGUUGAUACGUCUCCAACGUAUCUACUUUUCCAAACACUUUUGCCCUUGUUUUGGACUCUAACUUGCAUGAUUUGAAUGAAACUAACCCGGACUGACGCUGUUUUCAGCAGAACUACCAUGAUAUUGUUUUAUGUGUAAAAAAGAAAAGUUCUCGGAAUGUCCUGGAAAUCCACGAAGGCACUUUUUGGAAUUAAUAAGAAUUUUUGGUGAAAGAAUCAAUGCCAGGGGGCCCACGGGCUGCCCACGAGACAAGGGGCGCCCCCCCUAGGGCGCGGCAUCCUAUCUUGUGGGCCUCCUGGACCUCCACCGACCUCAAGUCCAACUCCAUGUAUUCACGCUCGGGGAGAAAAAAAUCAAGGAGAAAGUUUCAUCGCAUUUUACGACAUGGAGCCGCCGCCAAGCCCUAAUCUCUCUCGGGAGGGCUGAUCUGGAGUUCGUUCGGGGCUCAGGAGAGGGGGAUUCGUCGCCGUUGUCAUCAUCAACCAUCCUCCAUCACCAAUUUCAUGAUGCUCACCGCCGUGCGUGAGUAAUUCCAUCGUAGGCUUGCUGGACGGUGAUGGGUUGGAUGAGAUUUACCAUGUAAUUAAGUUAGUUUUGUUAGGGUUUGAUCCCUAGUAUCCACUAUGUUCUGAGAUUGAUGUUGCUAUGACUUUGUUAUGCUUAAUGCUUGUCACUAGGGCCUGAGUGCCAUGAUUUUAGAUCUGAACCUAUUAUGUUUUCAUGAAUAUAUGUGUGUUCUUGAUCCUAUCUUGCAAGUCUAUAGUCACCUAUUAUGUGUUAUGAUCCGACAACCCCGAAGUGACAAUAAUCGGGAUACUUCUCGGUGAUGACUGUAGUUUCAGGAGUUCAUGUAUUCACUAUGUGAUAAUGCUUUGUUCCGGUUCUCUAUUAAAAGGAGGCCUUAAUAUCCCUUAGUUUCUGUAAGGACCCCGCUGCAACGGGAGGGUAGGACAAAAGAUGGCAUGCAAGUUCUUUUCCAUAAGCACGUAUGACUAUUUAUGGAAUACAUGCCUACAUUACAUUGAUGAAUUGGAGCUAGUUCUAUAUCAGCCUAUGUUAUAGCUAUUACACGAGGAAUCGCAUCCGGCAUAAUUUAUCCAUCACUGAUCCAUUGUCUACGAGCUUUUCAUAUAUUGUUCUUCGCUUAUUUACUUUUCCGUUGCUACUGUUACAACUACUACAAAAACCCAAAAACAUUUAUCUUCACUUUUGCUACCGUUACUAUUAUUAUCAUACCACUUUUGCUACUAAACACUUUGCUGCAGAUACUAAGUUAUCCAGGUGUGGUUGAAUUGACAACUCAACUGCUAAUGCUCAAGAAUAUUCUUUGGCUCCCCUUGUGUCGAAUCAAUAAAUUUGGGUUGAAUACUUUACCCCCAAAAGCUGUUGUGAUCCCCUACACUUGUGGGUUAUCAGGCGGCGGUUGGGAGGACGAGGGAUGGAGGAGGCGCGAGAGGCUAUGGGGAUCGAGGGAAACGGGGGCUAGGGUUUGGGCGGCGGCUGGCACGGGACUAAGGCGAGGAAGGGAUUGGGUGAUUGGUUACGGAACGCGCGGAGUGGAUUGGCCAAAAUCUUCUGCACGCGGGCACGGCUGACCCAGCCAAUGAACGCCUGAAACGAGCCCAUCCAUCAUAGGCCAGUGGAAAUGACCGUGAGGUGAAAAUCGAAUUUGACUGUUGUGAAGAUCCAACGGCUCAAGCGCAUUAGAAUGCAGAUCAGACGGCUAACGAAGGCCCAAUCGGGGAGCCUUCUGGAGGUGAGUUGGCUAGCCAUGGCUGAUCUAAAGGACCCGGUCCUCUACCGCUGCUGCACAACAGACAUGGGUCAUCGCGGAUGUCGCUCGCCAUUGCGAAAGAACGGCCAGCCAUGGGUACUGGCGUGGGGAGGGAACGGGGGAGUUGAGUGGCAGUGAGAGAACCUCUAUCGAGAGUAACCCUACGUGAGGGAAAUGGAGAACGCGAGAGAGGCAGGAAAGAAAGGGAGCGGUUUGUGCGGCGUGGGAUGACCGUCUCAGGAGCAGUUUUUUUGGGUAAAAACCGAUGAAAGAGAAAGUUAUGUAAGAAAAAAUCGGUUGCUUGUUUAUCCGAUCGAUGGGUGGGGUGCGGAGCAAUGAUACCACCUACCAACUUUUCAGUGGAGAUUUGGAUUUCCCUAAAAAAAUUGGAGAUUUGGAUCAUCAAUGGUAAGAGCAUCUCUAGUCGCCCACCCAACAGCCCCCCAGGACCACUUUUUUGUGCCGGUUGUAAAAAAAUGCCCCGGCCGUGCACCCAAGACCUCGUUUUCCGCUUGAUUUGAUGAAAGUUUCAGCCGACGCUCCUAGUCUGAACCCAGCGCGCUUGGGGCGAGCUGGGGAGACUGACGCUAUUUUUCCGCAUGCAAUUGGCCCAUAGUCAGCCACCUUUCCCCCCUCUCUCCUCUCUUUCCACCUACCCCACGCCUCCCCGCUCUCCUCGAGCGCCCGGCUCAGGAACCCGUGAAGCUCCCUGAGCGCCCGUGAUAACCCACAAGUAUAGGGGAUCACAAAUGUUUUUGAGGGUAGAGUAGUCAACCCAAAUUUGUUGAUUCGACACAAGGGGAGCCAAAGAAUAUUCUCAAGUAUUAGCAGCUGAGUUGUUAAUUCAAGCACACCUGGAAACUUAGUAUCUGCAGCAAAGUGUUUAGUAGCAAAGUAAUAUGAUAGUGGUGGUAACGGUAACAAAAGUAAAGACAGCAAAAGUAAUGUUUUUGGUAUUUUGUAGUGAUUGUAACAGUAGCAACGGAAAAGUAAAUAAGCGAGAACCAGUAUAUGGAAAACUCGUAGGCACCGGAUUAGCGAUGGAUAAUUAUGCCGGAUGCGGUUUGUCAUGUAACAGUCAUAACAUAGGGUGACACAGAACUAGCUCCAGUUCAUCAAUGUAAUGUAGGCAUGUAUUCCGUAUAUAGUCAUACGUGCUUAUGGAAAAGAACUUGCAUGACAUCUUUUGUCCUACCCUCCCGUGGCAGCGGGGUCCUAUUGGAAACUAAGGGAUAUUAAGGCAUCCUUUUAAUAGAGAACCGGAACAAAGCAUUAACACAUAGUGAAUACAUGAACUCCUCAAACUAUGGUCAUCACCGGGAGUGGUCCCGAUUAUUGUCACUUCGGGGUUGCCGGAUCAUAACACAUAGUAGGUGACUAUAGACUUGCAAGAUAGGAUCAAGAACACACAUAUAUUCAUGAAAACAUAAUAGGUUCAGAUCUAAAAUCAUGGCACUCGGGCCCUAGUGACAAGCAUUAAGCAUAGCAAAGUCAUAGCAACAUCAAUCUCAGAACAUAAUGGAUACUAGGGAUCAAACCCUAACAAAACUAACUCGAUUACAUGAUAAAUCUCAUCCAACCCAUCACCGUCCAACAAGCCUACGAUGCAAUUACUCACGCACGGCGGUGAGCAUCAUGAAAUUGGUGAUGGAGGAUGGUUGAUGAUGAUGACGACGACAAAUCCCCCUCUCCGGAGCCCCGAACGGACUCCAGAUCAGCCCUCCCGAGAGAUAUUAGGGUUUGGCGGCGGCUCCGUAUCGUAAAACGCGAUGAUUUCUUCUCCCUGAUUUUUUCUCCCCGAAAGCCAAUAUAUGGAGUUGGAGUUGGCGUCGGAGGGCCACCAGGGGGCCCACGAGGUAGGGGGCGCGCCCAGGGGGGCACGCCCCUCACCCUCGUGGACAGGGUGUGGGCCCCCUAGUCUUCAUCUUUUGCGAGGAUUUUUUAUUGUUUUUUCUAAGGUGUUCCGUGGAGUUUCAGGUCAUUCUGAGAACUUUUAUUUUCUGCACAUAAAACAACACCAUGGCAAUUCUGCUGAAAAUAGCGUCAGUCGGGGUUAGUUCCAUUCAAAUCAUACAAGUUAGAGUCCAAAACAAGGGCAAUAGUGUUUGGAAAAGUAGAUACGACGGAGACAUAUCAACUCCCCCAAGCUUAAACCCUUGCUUGUCCUCAAGCAAUUCAGUUGACAAACUGAAAGAGAAAAAGAAAAACUUUUACAAACUCUGUUUGCUCUUGUUGUUGUAAACAUGAAAAGCCAGCAUUCAAGUUUCAGCAAAUAUUAUGAACUAACCAUACUCACAAUAACACGUAGGUCUCAUAAUUACUCACAUCAAUAGCAUAAUCAGCUAGCGAGCCAUAAUAAUAAAACUCGGAUGACAACACUUUCUCAAAAUAAUCAUAAGAUGAUAUAACAAAAUGGUAUCUCGCUAGCCCUUUCUGAGACCGCAAAACAUAAAUGCAGAGCACCUUUAAAGAUCAAGGACUGACUAAACAUUGUAAUUCAUGGUAAAAGAGAUCCAGUCAAGUCAUACCCAAUAUAAACCAAUAAUAAUGAAUGCAAAUGACAGUGUGCUCUCCAGCGGGUGCUUUUAAUAAGAAGGGUGAUGACUCAACAUAAAAGUAAAUAGAUAGGCCCUUCGUAGAGGGAAGCACAGAUUUGUAGAUGUGCCAGAGCUCGGUUUUGAAAUAGAGAUAAAUUAUAUUUUGAGCGGCAUACUUUCAUUGUCAACAUAACAACUAAAAGACGAUGAUAUCUUCCAUGCUAAACAGAUUAUAGACGGUUCCCAAACAGAAUGGUAAAGUUUAUACUCCCCCUCCUCCACAAGCAUCAAUCCAUGGCUUGCUCGAAACAACGAGUGCCUCCAACAUUCAACGGGUCCCAAGGGGAGUUUUGUUUGCAAUUUUUUUGAUUUAGUUUGCAUAAAGCAUGGGACUGGGCAUCCCGGAUACCAGCCAUUUUCUCGUGAAUGAGGAGCGGAGUCCACUCCUCUUGAGAAUAACCCGCCUAACACGGAAGAUAAGGGCAGCUCUAGUUGACAUAUGAGCUAUUCGAGCAUGCAAAACAAAAUGUUUAUUUGAAGGUUUAGAGUUUGGCACAUACAAAUUUACUUAGAACGGCAGGUAAAUGCCACAUAUAGGACGGUAUAGUGGACUCAUAUGGAACAACUUUGGGGUUUAAGGAGUUUGGAUGCACAAGCAGUAUUCCCGCUUAGUACAGGUGAAGGCUAGCAAAAGACUGGGAAGCGACCAACUGAGAGAGCGACAACAGUCGUAAACAUGCAUUAAAAUUAAUUUACACCGAACACAAGCAUGAGUAGGAUAUAAUCCACCAUGAACAUAAAUAUCAUGAAGGCUAUGUUGAUUUGAUUCAACUACAUGCGUGAACAUGUGCCAAGUCUAGUCACUCAAUACAUUUAAAGGAGGAUACCAUCCCAUCAUACCACAUCAUAAUCAUUCUAAUAGCAUGUUGGCACGCAAGGUAAACCAUUAUAACUCAUAGCUAAUCAAGCAUGACACAAGCAACUAUAAUCUCUAAAUGUCAUUGCAAAUAUGUUUACUUCAUAAUAGCUGACUCAGGAAGGAUGAAUCAUCAUAUUUACAAAAACAAGAGAGGUCGAGUUCAUACCAGCUUUUCUUAUCCCAAUAAGUCCAUCAUAUAUCAUCAUUAUUGCCUUUCACUUGCACGACCGAACGGUGUGUAUAAUAAUAAGAGUGCACGUGCAUUGCACUAAGCUGGAAUCUGCAAGCAUUCAACUCAAGAGAAGACAAGUAAUAUGGGCUCGAAGUUAAAUAAACAAUCAUGCAUAUAAGAGCCACUAAGCAUUUUUAAUAGUCUUCUCGACCCCCAAAGAAAAGAAAAGAAAUAAAAACUAUUUACACGGGAAAGCUCCCAACAAGUAAAAGAAGAACGGGAAAUAUUUUUGGAUUUUCUUUUUAAUUCUACUAUAAGCAUGGAAAGUAAACUAACUAUUUUUUUGGUUUUUCUUAAGGUUUAUUAAACACACAAGAAGAAAGCAGGAAAAAGAAAUUUAAACUAACAUGGAUACUACAGUGAAAAAGUAUGAGCACCGACAUCUAGCAAUGAGUGUGUGUGAACAUGAAUGUAAUGUCGGUGGGAAAUACGUACUCCCCCAAGCUUAGGCUUUUGGCCUAAGUUGGUCUAUUGCUAGGGAUAGCCUGGCGGAUACCCGUAGGUGUAGCUAGGGUCGUAGUGUGAUGAAGAAGACUCCGACUGCCACUGGCUGGCAGCCUCCUCUGGAUCCCAAGAAUAAACAAAUAGUCGUGGAGGCUCAUCUUGUGGCUCCGGUUCCGAGGCUGGUGCAGGAUUCCGAUAGGCUUGAAUAGCCGACCAUGGAACGGUGUGAGGUUCUGCAGACAAGUUAAACAAAGAAGGAGCAGGCAAAGUAAUAGUCUCAGGGUGAUGUUUAUCAAAGUAUAAUUUGUAUUUGAGCUCCCCUUCGCGACUCUUAACAAGAAAGUCAUGCGCUAUCAUACUCUUAUAAUCUAAAUAAACACGGGGCAGCGCUCUUUCUUCUUUCUCCUCAUGCCUAAUAGGUAUUUCAAAAUGUUCAGCUAGGCGUGAAGCAUAAAUGCCUCCAAGAUGGGGCCCUUAGUAUGGUUCAGACUUAACCGUCUAGCAACAAUUCCACCCAUACUAACAGAGUUAUUGUGGUAUAAACCAUGGAGCAAAAUAAUAAUAUCAGGAAUACUAAGGUUCCCACAGUUCCCGCGUCCAAUCAAGCAACGACUAGCAAAUAAAGCAAAGUAGCGUAAAACAGGAAAAUGUAUGCUAGUGAUCCUUGCAUCAGAAACCUUCCUGGUUUCUCCCACCGUAAUGGUGUUGAUAAAAGCUUCUACUUCGUUACGGUGGGGUUCAUCUAAGGUGCCCUCAAAGGGUAUUCUGCAAACCUCGCAGAAUUCAGCUAAUGUUAUCUCUUUAACAACGUCAUAUAAAUGAAACUCUACUGUUGGAGGUGAUUUCUUAGGGAAAAAGUAGAAGUUUUGCACAAAAGUAUUUGUGAGUAAGAGAUACUGAUGACGUUGGUCGUGGAGGAAGUUGGUGAGGCCAGCAUUCUCAAUCAAUAAAUAGAAAUCCUCAUAAAUCCCGGCUCUCCUCAAGAAGUCAUCGGAAGGCCAUUCACACGGCCGGACCUCCGCGGUGCGGGCCAAAUUGAAUUUGGGCUUCUCCUCUUCUUCCUUUUGUUUUUCCUUAGAGCUUCGGCUCGACGAGCCCCUCAAAAAUUUCUUCAUUAUUUCUGAAACAAUCUGAAAUUUUUAGUAACUUCAAAUAAAAGUGAACCAACUUCAAUAAAAUUGAUAGCAACAACUCCCAUAAGUGCCUAGAGCCUAUAUAAAGCAUUGGAACUACUUGGAACCAUAUAAAUUUGACAUGCAAGCUCAAGAACAUGGUCACCUAUGCAGCACAAAUUUGCAAUGAAUAAAGCACUGGAACAAAAACUAAUUGGACCAAUGGAGGAGUCACAUACCAAGGAACAAUCUCCCCAAGCAGUUUUGCGAGAGGUGCUUUGAGCAAUGAGAUCGAAAAUCACAGCAACGGGGGCUGGAACUCGUGCUUGAGUUGGUUUUUCGUGUUUGUGUGAGGCAGAGGAAGAAGAUGGGUGCGGGAAUAAGUGGAGGAGGACCACCGUGGGCCCAUGAGGCAGGGGGGCGCCCAGGGGGGUAGGGCGCGCCCUCCACCAUCGUGGCCAGGUGGCAGCUUCCCCCGUGGUAAUUUUUGCACAGUAAAUCCUCAAAUAUUCCCGAAAAAAACAUAUUAAAUUGGCAUGGCAUUCUGAGGACUUUUAUUUUCGGGAUAUUUUUAUAUUGCACGGAUAAGUCAGGAGACAGACAGAAAAAUACUAUUUUACUUUAUUUCUACUAAAUAACAGAAAAUAUAAAGAGGGUACAGAAGGUUGUGCUUCUAGUUUCAUCCAUCUCGUGAUCAUCAAAAUGAACCCACUAACAAGGUUGAUCAAGUCUUGUUAACAAACUCAUUCCGAAUAAUCACGGAACCGAAGAAAUUUCGAAUAACACUAAGUUACCUCAACGGGGAUAUGAAAAUCCCCAACAAUAAGAAUAUCAUACUUUUUCUUGACAGUAGGGAGAGGAAAUUCAAAACCUCCAAAUAUAAUCGAUGGAAUUUUUCCAAUAGACUUGAUACUAUAAACUUGAGGUUGUUUCCUCGGAAAGUGUACCGUGUGCUCAUUGCCAUUAACAUGAAAAGUGACAUUGCCUUUGGUGCAAUCAAUAAUAGCCCCUGUCGUAUUAAGGAAAGGUCUUCCAAGAAUAAUAGACAUACUAUCAUCCUCGGGAAUAUCAAGAAUAACAAAGUCCGUUAAAAUAGUAACAUUUGCAACCACAACAGGCACAUCCUCACAAAUACCGACAGGUAUAGCAGUUGAUUUAUCAGCCAUUUGCAAAGAUAUUUCAGUAGGUGUCAACUUAUUCAAGUCAAGUCUACGAUAUAAAGAGAGAGGCAUAACACUGACACCGGCUCCAAGAUCACAUAAAGCAGUUUUAAUAUAAUUUCUCUUAAUGGAGCAAGGUAUAGUAGGUACUCCGGGAUCUCCAAGUUUCUUUGGUAUUCCACCUUUAAAAGUAUAAUUAGCAAGCAUGGUGGAAAUUUCAGCUUCAGGUAUCUUUUUUUAUUAGUAAUAAUAUCCUUCAUAUACUUAGCAUAAGGAUUUGUUUUGAGCACAUCAGUUAAUCGCAUACGCAAAAAGAUGGGUCUAAUCAUUUCAGCAAAGCGCUCAAAAUCCUCAUCAUCCUUUUUCUUGGAUGGUUUCGGAGGAAAAGGCAUGGGUUUCUAAACCCAUGGUUCCCUUUCUUUACCAUGUUUCCUAGUACAAAGUCUCUUUUAUCAUAACAUUGAUUCUUUGAUUGUGGGUUAUCAAGAUCAACAACAGGUUCAACUUCUACGUUAUUAUCAUUACUAGGUUGAGCAUCAACAUGAACAUUAUCAUUAACAUUAUCACUAGGUUCAUGUUCAUCACCUGAUUGUGUUUCAGUAUCAAAAACAGAGAUAUCAUUUGGAUUCUCAGGUGGUUCAACAAUAGGUUCACUAGAAGUUUGCAAAGUCCUAUCAUUUUUCUUUUUCUUCCUCUUAGAAGAACUAGGUACAUCAAUAUUAUUUCUCUAAGAGUCUUGCUCGAUUCUCUUAGGGUGGCCUUCAGGAUACAAAGGUUCCUGAGUCAUUCUACCAGUUCUAGUAGCCACUCUAACAACAUAAUCAUUUUUCUUACUAUUCAUUUCAUCAAGUGCUUCUUUCUGAGCUUUAAGUACUUGUUCUACUUGAGUGGUGACCAUAGAAGCAUGUUUGCUAACAAGUUUAAGUUCACCUCUAAUAUCAGCCAUAUAAUCACCCAAGCGUUUAAUCAUAAAGGUAUUCUGUUUCAAUUGUCUACCAAAAUAAGCAUUAAAGUCAUCUUCCUUAAACAUAAAGUCAUCAAACUCAUCCAAGCACUGACUAGCAAUUUUAGUAGGAGGGACUUCAGCUUUAUCAUAUCUAUAGAGAGAAUUUACCUUUACUACCUGUGUCGGGAUAUCGGGAGGUUCUUCAGUAAAUAAGUAAUUGAGAUCAUAUACUUCUUCAACAUGCGGUAAAUUAAGACCAUGUAUUUCUUCAAUAGGAGGUAAAUUCUUAACAUCUUCAGCUUUAAUACCUUUUUCUUUCAUAGAUUUCUUUGCCUCUUGCAUAUCUUCGGGACUGAGAAAUAGAACACCUCUCUUCUUCAGAGUUGGUUUAGGAAUAGGCUCAGUAAUUGGCUCUGGAACUGGCUCAGGAGGUGCCCAAUUAUUUUCAUUUGCCAACAUAUUAUUCAAUAUAAUUUCAGCUUCAUCCGGUGUUCUUUCCCUGAAAAGAGAACCAGCACAACUAUCCAGGUAAUCUCUGGAAGCAUCGGUUAGUCCAUUAUAAAAGAUAUCAAAUAUUUCAGGUUUCUUAAGAGGAUGAUCAGGCAAAGCAUUAAGUAACUUGAGAAGCCUCCCCCAAGCUUGUGGGAGACUCUCUUCUUCAAUUUGCACAAAAUUGUAUAUUUCCCUCAAGGCAGCUUGUUUCUUAUGAGUAGGGAAAUAUUUAGCAGAGAAGUAAUAAAUCAUAUCCUGGGGACUUUGCACACAACCAGGAUCAAGAGAAUUAAACCAUAUCUUAGCAUCACCCUUUAAUGAGAACGGAAAUAUCUUGAGUAAAUAAAGGUAGCGCGAUCUCUCAUUAUUAGUAAACAGGGAAGCUAUAUCAUUUAACUUAGUAAGAUGUGCCACAACAGUUUCAGAUUCAUAGCCAUAAAAAGGAUCAGAUUCAACCAAAGUAAUUAUAUCUGGAUCAACAGAAAAAUCAUAAUAAUCCUGAUCGGGAACACAAAUAGGUGAAGUUGCAAAAGCAGGGUCGGGUUUCAUUCUAUCUCUAAAAGAUUCUUUACUCCAUUUAACUAGCAACCUCUUAAGUUCAUAUCUAUCCUGGCAAGCAAGAAUAGCUGCAGAAGAUUCAACAUCAAAAAGGUAACCCUCAGGAAUAGCAGGCAUAUUUUCAUCAUCACUAACAUCAUCGUAUUCAGGUGCAAUAAUUCUCUUUCUCUAGACCUAGCAAUUUGCUCAUCAAGAAAUUCACCAAGGGGCACAAUAGUAUCAAGCAUAGAAGUAGUUUCAUCAUAAGUAUCAUGCAUAGCAGAAGUGGCAUCAUCAAUAACAUGCGACAUAUCAGAAUUCAUAGCAGUAGUAGGUUUAGGUGUCGCUAGCUUACUUAUAACAGAAGGAGAAUCUAGUGCAAGGCUAGAUGGCAGUUCCUUACCUCCCCUCGUAGUUGAGGGCAAAAUAGUAGUUCGAUCAUCUUUCAAGUUCUUCAUAGUGUCCAGCAGAUAUAAAUCCCAAGUGACUCAAAGAAUAGAGCUAUGCUCCCCGGCAACGGCGCCAGAAAAAGGUCUUGAUAACCCACAAGUAUAGGGGAUCGCAACAGUUUUCGAGGGUAGAGUAUUCAACCCAAAUUUGUUGAUUCGACACAAGGGGAGCCAAAGAAUAUUCUCAAGUAUUAGCAGCUGAGUUGUCAAUUCAACCACACCUGGAAACUUAGUAUCUGCAGCAAAGUGUUUAGUAGCAAAGUAAUAUGAUAGUGGUGGUAACGGUAACAAAAGUAAAGACAGCAAAAGUAAUGUUUUUGGUAUUUUGUAGUGAUUGUAACAGUAGCAACGGAAAAGUAAAUAAGCGAGAACCAGUAUAUGGAAAACUCGUAGGCACCGGAUUAGCGAUGGAUAAUUAUGCCGGAUGCGGUUCAUCAUGUAACAGUCAUAACAUAGGGUGACACAGAACUAGCUCCAGUUCAUCAAUGUAAUGUAGGCAUGUAUUCCGUAUAUAGUCAUACGUGCUUAUGGAAAAGAACUUGCAUGACAUCUUUUGUCCUACCCUCCCGUGGCAGCGGGGUCCUAUUGGAAACUAAGGGAUAUUAAGGCAUCCUUUUAAUAGAGAACCGGAACAAAGCAUUAACACAUAGUGAAUACAUGAACUCCUCAAACUAUAGUCAUCACCGGGAGUGGUCCCGAUUAUUGUCACUUCGGGGUUGCCGGAUCAUAACACAUAGUAGGUGACUAUAGACUUGCAAGAUAGGAUCAAGAACACACAUAUAUUCAUGAAAACAUAAUAGGUUCAGAUCUGAAAUCAUGGCACUUGGGCCCUAGUGACAAGCAUUAAGCAUAGCAAAGUCAUAACAACAUCAAUCUCAGAACAUAAUGUAUACUAGGGAUCAAACCCUAACAAAACUAACUCGAUUACAUGAUAAAUCUCAUCCAACCCAUCACCGUCCAGCAAGCCUACGAUGCAAUUACUCACGCACGGCGGUGAGCAUCAUGAAAUUGGUGAUGGAGGAUGGUUGAUGAUGACGACGGCGACGAAUCCCCCUCUCCGGAGCCCCGAACGGACUCCAGAUCAGCCCUCCCGAGAGAGAUUAGGGCUUGGCGGCGGCUCCGUAUCGUAAAACGCGAUGAUUUCUUCUCCCUGGUUUUUUUCUCCCCGAAUGCCAAUAUAUGGAGUUGGAGUUGGCGUCGGAGGGCUUCCAGGGGGCCCACGAGGUAGGGGGGCGCGCCCAGGGGGCGCGCCCCCCACCCUCGUGGACAGGGUGUGGGGCCCCUGGUCUUCAUCUUUUGCGAGGAUUUUUUAUUGUUUUUUCUAAGGUGUUCCGUGGAGUUUCAGGUCAUUCCGGGAACUUUUAUUUUCAGCACAUAAAACAACACCAUGGAAAUUCUGCUGAAAACAGUGUCAGUCCGGGUUAGUUCCAUUCAAAUCAUACAAGUUAGAGUCCAAAACAAGGGCAAAAGUGUUUGGAAAAGUAGAUACGAUGGAGACGUAUCAGCCCGUGUUGUGUUCGCCUGGCCUUCCAGCAGCUCUCUAGUUCUCAAGUGACUCACCAGUGGCGCUCCCGAUCUCCUCCGUGGUGCGCUGCAGGGCCUCCAUCUGUGCCGCCAUGGCGUCGCCGCCGGUCCUGACCUCCCUAUCGAUCCUCACGGCUUCUUCCUUCAGCUUCCUGAUGGUCGUCGACUGCUCCAACACGUCGCCGAUCCGGGAUUUGACAUUAUUGGACGUCGCGGCCAGGUGCUCGAUCUGUGAUAGGCGGCUCGAGGCCGGGCCGGCAUCCUCGUGGCCGGGGCGGAGCGGUCGACAUCCUCGUGGUCGGGGUGGAGCUCAAGGCCGGGUCAGAGUGGCUGACAUCCUCGACGAGCGGCUCGCCAUGGGCGCUAACAUCCUCCGGAUCGUUGUCGCGGACGGUCGCUGGUCGCGGCCUCGUCUAUCUCUCGCCCAAAGCCCGUUUGUUGAAAUGGCAAACAAUGGAAUAAAAAAAUUGCCCCAUCUGGUGGUCGGUGGUGCAAUGACUAGGAAACACCCCCCCUUGGAGAUGCUCUAAAUGUCACUAUGCCAAUUGUCCCUAGAAGAAUCGUCGGCAGCUGUGAUCGGAUACCGUCAUCUUAAGAUUUGGACCAUCAAUGGUAAAUGUCCUUGUGCCAAGGGCGUGUUUGGUUGCCGUUGUGAACAGUUCCUGCAUCACAUACACUUCUCAACCCAGCCUGGUUGAGCAAAAACAUGCCCUAAUAUGCCAUCUGUAAGUUGUUUGGUUGCCUGCAUCUAGUGUUCCUGCAUUAGGUAAUACGCAAGUGCACUUUGUUUGAUUGCCUGCAUUGGCCCUAGCGGCACAUGAACAUGGUGUUUGGUUGCAUACGGCGUACAUGUUGUGCUUACCUUGUACCCUAGUUGGUGAGCUUACCCACAAUGAUCACACCUAGCACACCAACGCCACAACACAACAAUGACGAUUAACUGGGUGAAGAUGAUGAAGUUCUUCAGCUUCAGCCCAAACUGACGAUCCACCUUAGCACCUUCCACUUUGACACCUCCAACCUUGCCACUGUCAACACUGUUGCCUCCGUGCUUUCGCAUCCAGUCAGAGUAAGCUUGUUCUGCUGCCUGCCUAGUCUUGAACCCUCUAUAGCUGCUGUUGCUAUACGAUGCCACUUGUGCAUUGGCUUCUUCCCAUGAACUAUAAACCCCUAGAGCCUUACCGAUGAACAUGGCAUACCACUUGCCCUAGCAAUGCACAAGAGCAAGAGCUGAAGCAGCAAAUCAAUGGAGCACACAAGUAGCAAGCAAAGUAGCACACAAACAAUAAUGGAGCAGAAGAGAAAUAAAGCAUGCAUGAUCAUACAACAUAGCAAGUUCAACCUAGCACUACCUUGGUGUUAACCUACCACCACAUCCAAAAGAGGGUGUCGUCCUACCACCGCGAGUUCACCAUCAGCAUGAGGGGUUAGUAUAUACCACCUCACCAAAAUAUACACACCAUCAAAUUGUUUUUUAGCCCUAGCUACACAAAAUGUACGUCGUCAUCGUCAUCGUCGUCGUCGUCGCCACCGUCAUCGUCAUCGGGGAUCAUGCACGCUCACAGGCGGCACUAGUCUAAUAGUAGUGCUUGCUGAUAACCCGCAAGUAUACGGGAUAUUUGUAGCCUCUUUCGAUAAGUAAGAGUGUCGAACCCAACGAGGAGCUAAAGGUAGAACAAAUACUCUCUCAAGUCCUAUCGGCCACUGAUACGACUCUACGCACGCUUGACGUUCGCUUUACCUAGAACAAGUAUGAAACUAGAAGUACUUUGUAGGUAUUGUUGGAUAGGUUUGCAAGAUAAUAAAGAAGACGUAAAUAAAAUCUAGGGGUUGUUUAGAUAAAGAUGCAAUAAAGUAAAUAUAGCGAGUGUGGAAAAGUGGUGGUAGGAGUUGUGAAAUUGUCCCUAAGCAAUUGACUACGUUACUAGACCGGUAAUCACUAUUGCAAUUCUAUUUGAGGGAGAGGCAUAAGCUAACAUACUUUCUCUACUUGGAUCAUAUGCACUUAUGAUUGGAACUCUAGCAAGCAUCCGCAGAUACUAAAGAUUCAUUAAGGUAAAACCCAACCAUAGCAUUAAAGUAUCAAGUCCCCUUUAUCCCAUACGCAAACAACCUACUUACUUGGGUCUGUGCUUCUGUCACUCACGCCACCCACCAUAAGCAAAUCAUAAACAUAUUGCAAACCCUACAGCGGGAAUCCCUCACGCUUGCGCGACACAAAGGGCACAAUAGGACAACACCAAUAAUAAAACAUGCAACUCAAACCAAUCAUAGUAAUUCAUCAAUCACCGAUAGGACAACAAAAAUCUACUCAGACUUCAUAGGAUGGCAACACAUCAUUGGAAAAUAAUAUGAAGCAUAAAGCAUCAUGUUCAAGUAGAGGGUACAGCGGGUUGCGGGAGAGUGGACCGCUGAAUAUAGAUGGGGGAAGGUGAUGGAGAUGUUGGUGAAGAUGGCGGAGGUGUUGGUGAAGAUCGCGGUGAUGAUGAUGGCCCCCAGGGGCGUUCCGGCGCCACCGGAAGCAAGGGGGAGAGAGCCCCCCUUCUUCUUCUUCUUCCUUGACCUUCUCCCUGGAUGGGAGAAGGGUUUCCCCUCCGGUCCUUGGCUCCCAUGGCUUGGGAAGGGCGAGAGCCCCUCCGAGAUUGGAUCUAUCUCUCUGUUUCUGCGUUCUGGGAUUCUGCCCUGGCACCGUUUCCUUUAUAUCUGGAGAUCCGUAACUCCGAUUGGAUUGAAACCUUUGCCCAGAUCGUUUUCCAAAAAAUAGCUUUCUUGCGGCCAAAGAAGGGCAUGAACCGCCUUACGGUUGUCCCACGAUAUAGGGGGGCGCGCCCACCUGGAGUGGUGGCGUGGGCCACUCUCGUGGCCACCCCGGGCACCGUUUCGCGUUGAUUCUUCCUCCCAAAAAUCAUAAAUAUUCUAAAAUAAUUCUCCGUCCGUUUUUAUCCCGUUUGGACUCCGUUUGAUAUGGGGUUUCUGCGAAACAUAAACCAUGCAACAGACAGGAACUGGCACAAGGCACUGGAUCAAUAUGUUAGUCUCAAAAAAUAGUAUAAAAAGUUGCCAAAAGUAUAUGAAAGUUGAAUAAUAUUGGCAUGGAACAAUCAAAAAUUAUAGAUACGAUGGAGACAUAUCAGCAUCCCCAAGCUUAAUUCCUGCUCGUCCUCGAGUAGGUAAAUGAUAAAAAAGAUAAUUUUUGAUGUGGAAUGCUACCUAACAUAAUCUUGAUCAUAUGUCUAAUCAUGGCAUGAAUAUUAAGACACAGUGAUUCAAAGCAAUAGUCUAUCAUUUGACGUAAAAACAAUAAUACUUCGAGCGUACCAAUAAAGCAAUCAUGUCUUUUCAAAACAACAAGGCCAAAGCAAGCUUAUCCCUAUAAAAUCAUAGAGUUUGGUCGUGCUUCAUUUUCGUCGCACAUAAUGCCCCCAUCAUGGACAACCCCGAUGACAAGCCGAGCAAUUGGUUCAUACUUUUUAACGCGCUCUAGCUUUUUCAACCCUCACGCAAUACAUGAGCGCAAGCCAUGGAUAUAGCACUAUAGGUGGAAUAGAAUAUAAUGAUGGAGGUUAUGUGGAGAAGACAAAAAAGGAGAAAGUCUCACAUCAACGCGGCUAAUCAACGGGCUAUGGAGAUGCCCAUUAGUUGAUGUCAAUGCGAGGAGUAGGGAUUUCCAUGCAACAGAUGCACUAAGAGCUAUAAGUAUAUGAAAGCUCAAACUGAAAACUAAGUGGGUGUGCAUCAAACUUGCUUGCUCAUGAAUACCUAGGGCAUUUGAGGAAGUCCAUCGUUGGAAUAUACAAGCCAAGUUCUAUAAUGAAAAAUUCCUACUAGUAUAAGAAAGUGACAACAUAGGAGACUCUAUAUGAAGAACAUGGUGCUACUCUGAAGCACAAGUGUGGAAAAAGGAUAGUAACAUUGCCCCUUUUCUUUUUCUUUUUUUUCUUUUUCUCUUUUUUUUCUUUUUGGGUGGGCUUCUUUGGCCCCCUUUUUUAUUUAGGCUUCUUUGGCCUUUCCUUUUUUUUUCUUUUUUUUCAUGGGGCAAUGUUCUAUAAUGAUGAUCAUCACACUUUUAUUACUCGAUACUGGAACAAAGAUAUGACUCUAUAUGAAUGCUUCCGGCGGUGUACCGGGAUGUGCAAUGGUCUAGCGUAGCAAUGACAUCAAAAAACGGACAAGCCAUGAAAACAUCAUGCUAGCUAUCUUACGAUCAUGCAAAGCAAUAUGACAAUGAAUGCUCAAGUCAUGUAUAUGAUGAUGAUAAAAGUUGCAUGGCAAUAUAUCUCGGAAUGGCUAUGGAAAUGCCAUGAUAGGUAGGUAUGGCGGCUGUUUUAAGGAGGAUAUAAUGAGGCUUAUGUGUGAUAGAGCGUAUCGUAUCACAGGGUUUGGAUUCACCGGCGAAGUUUGCACCAACUCUCAAGGUGAGAAAGGGCAAUGCACGGUAACGAAGAGGCUAGCAAUGAUGGAAAGGUAAAAGUGUGUAUAAUCCAUGGACUCACAUUAAUCAUAAAGAACUCAUAUACUUAUUGCAAAAUUUUAUUAGCCCUCGAAGCAAAGUACUACUACGCAUGCACCUAGGGGGAUAGAUUGGUAGGAAAAGACCAUCGCUCGUCCCCGACCGCCACUCAUAAGGAAGACAAUCAAAGAAACACCCCAUGCUUCAAAUUUGUCACACAACGGUUACCAUACGUGCAUGCUACGGGACUUGCAAACCUCAACACUAGUGUCUCUACAAUCCACAACCACCCACUAGCAUGACUCUAAUAUCACCAUCUUUAUAUCGCAAAACUAUUGCAAGGAAUCAAACAUAUCAUAUUCAGCGAUCUACAAGUUUAUGUAGGAUUUUAUGACUAACCAUGUUAAUGACCAAUUCCUGUCAUCUCUCUAAAUUGAUAUAAGUGAAGCAAGAGAGUUUAAUUAUUUCUACAAAAGAUAUGCCCAUGCUCUAACAAAUAUAAGUGAAGCAAAAGAGCAUUCUACAAAUGGCGGUUUUCUAUGCGAAGAGAAAUAGGCAAUCCAAACUUAAAAUGAUACAAGUGAAGCACAUGAAGCAUUCUAUAAAGCCAUACUCAAAAGAUUUAAGUGAAGUGCAAUGAGCAUUCUAUAAAUCAACCAAGGACUAUCUCAUACCAGCAUGGUGCAUAAAAUAAAAAUGAAAACUAAAUGCAAAAGACGCUCCAAGACUUGUACAUAAUGCAUGAACGAAACGAAUUAGAAAACAUACCGAUACUUGUUGAAGAAAGAGGGGAUGCCUUCCGGGGCAUCCCCAAGCUUAGACGCUUGAGUCUCCUUGAAUAUUUAUUUGGGGUGCCUCGAGCAUCCCCAAUCUUGAGCUCUUGCCUCUCUUCCUUUUCCUCAUAUCAAGACAUCCUCGAUUAGACACCACAUCCACACAAAACUUCAACAGAAAACUCGGUAAGAUCCGUUAGUAUAAUAAAGCAAAUCACCACUCUAAGUACUGUUGCAAACCAAUUCAUAUUUUGUUUUUGCAUUGUGUCUACUGUAAUAUAGCUUUUACAUGGCUUAAUCCACUAGUAUAAUUUGAUAGAUUCAUAAAAACAAGCAAACUAUGCAUCAAAAACAGAAUCUGUCAAAAACAGAACAGUCUGUAGCAAUCUGAACAUUCACCAUACUUCUAUUACCCCCAAAAAUUCUACCAAAAUUAGGAAAAAUAAACAAGUGAUAUAGCAAGACAGUGCAAAAGGAAUAAGAACUAUUUGACGUUUCAGUUAAAAAUGUAAAAUCUCGCACUACAGCCAAAGUUUCUGUUCCGCACCGUACAAACCAACAAGCAUUGUAAACAUCCUAAAGGCAAACCUUGGCACAUUAUUUUUAUAAUACAAAGGAAUUGUACAAGGGGAUAAUUAUUUUUGAUGAAAAGUUUCUGUAAUCAAGAUUCACAAAGUUUCCGUGAGCAUGAACAAAGUUCAAGGAGCUCUCCCACUUCAACAAUGCUUGUCUUUCUCACUUUCACUUUCCUUUUUUGAAAAAUUUUUAGGUUCCCCUCUUUAAUUUUUUUUGUUUUUAAACUAUAAAAAAGCACUCAACAGAAAUAAAUGACUCUCUAAAACUUUCGGGUUGUCUCCCUGAUAGCGCUUUCUUUAAAGUCAUCAAGCUAGGCACUUAGUGCUCAAGUAAUGAAUCCACCCGGAUCCCAAGGUAUAUCAAAGCCAAUUUUAAUUAACAAUGAUUUGUAAUUUAGUAGUGAGCACAAAGUAACAUAUAUCAAGCAACAACGAAGUCUAACUCUCUUCCUAUGCAUCGGCAUGUCAUAAAAGAACAAUUCAUGCACACCCAGUAAAGGCCAAUGCAUAGUAUAAGCAGUUUCUUGCAAUUCUAUCAUAUUGGAAACAUAAAGAGGCGGAGAUGUAGUUCCUCUCUCAUAAUAAUUGCAAGUAGGAGCAGCAAGCACAUGCAUAUUAUAUCUAUCAAAAUCAUCAUGUGCAAUGGUAAAAGGCAACCCAUCAAUAUAAUCCUUAAUAAGCACAAACUUCUCUGAUAAAGUGUAGUAGGGAGAAUUCAAAAAGAUAAUAGGACUAUCAUGCGUGGGUGUAAUAGCAACAAUUUCAUGUUUAACAUAAGGAACUAUAGCAAGUUCAUCUCCAUAAGCAUAAUUAAUAUUGGCAUCUUGGCCACCAGCAUAGCAAGCAUCAUCAAAAAGGGAUAUUUUGAGAGAAUCAACGGGAUCAUAGCAAUAAUCAUCAUAGCAAUCAUCCUUCGGUAAGCACGAAGGAGAAUUAAACAAUGUAUGAGUUGAAGAGUUACUCUCAUUAGAAGGUGGGCACAGGUGAUGAAUCCGCUCUUCCUCCUUUUGUUCUUCUCUCUCCUCAUCAUCUUUUUCAUCCAAUGAGCUCACAGUUUCAUCAAUUUCUUCUUCCAUAGCUUCCUGCAAAAUAUUAGUCUCUUCUUGGACAGCGGAGACUUUCUCCAUAAAUGCAUUAAUAUAGUAAUUCUAUUCAUAAUUUUCAUAGCAAUAUCUAAGUAUAGCAAGAUUUUUAGGCCUAUAAACACCAUCAUCAUCAAAAGCUUCAUACUUUUCAAACAAAGAUUCAAUUUCAUAAGCAACCUUAAAAGGAACAAAUUCUUCUAUUUGUUCAACAUCAUAGUAAUCAUAUACUCCCUCCGUUCCAGAAUAUAAGGUGUAUUGGUUUCCGUGCAAGUCAACUGUUUGAAUGUUUGACCAAGAUUAUAGAAUAAAAUAACAAUAGUUACAAAACUUAGUAGAUAAAAUAUGAAACUACUUUUCAUGAUGGAUCAAAUAAUAUAAAUUUUGUAUAGUGAAUGUUGAUAUAUUUUUCUAAAAACUCGGUCAAACUUGCACUCGUUUGACUUUUCAAAAAACAAAUACACCUUAUAUAAAGGAACGGAGGGAGUAUACCAUUAGCAUAAGAAGCCAAGGUUUCAUUAUCAUUAAAUUUGCAUGAAAAGGGAAGGUGUGGAGCCUUCAUCCUAGAGCAACAAAUAAUAUCAUAUCUCAAGCAUAGAUCCCGGGCAUACCAACGCAACAUAAUAAAUUGAUCCCAUAAUAGUUUCUCUUUUUGUGUCGAGCGAUAAUCCCUAAAGUAUUCACGUUGAUCCAACGCGUCUCCCAUUAUAAAGUUGAAGGGGGUUUUCUCAGGAUUAUCAAAGUAGUACAAAAUAUCUCUCACAUAAUGAGAAUCGAGGGUUUUAGGAGUUACCCCAUCUCCAUGAGUAGCAAGUACACCUAAUUUUUUGGGUAUUUCGUGUUCCGUAUCCAUAACUAAAGAUAGAGAACAACUAGGAACAACAAAUAAAAACUACUUAGUGAUAAAGCAAACAAGCACACACGAGAAUAUUCACCCCACGCUAUGACUCCCCGGCAACGGCGCCAGAAAAAGGUCUUGAUAACCCACAAGUAUACGGGAUAGUUGUAGCCUCUUUCAAUAAGUAAGAGUGUCGAACCCAACGAGGAGCUAAAGGUAGAACAAAUACUCUCUCAAGUCCUAUCGGCCAUGAUACGACUCUAGCAUGCUUGACGUUCGCUUUACCUAGAACAAGUAUGAAACUAGAAGUACUUUGUAGGUAUUGUUGGAUAGGUUUGCAAGAUAAUAAAGAAGACGUAAAUAAAAGCUAGGGGCUGUUUAGAUAAAGAUGCAAUAAAGUAAAUAUAGCGAGUGUGGAAAAGUGGUGGUAGGAGUUGUGAAAUUGUCCCUAAGCAAUUGACUACGUUACUAGACCGAUAAUCACUAUUACAAUUCUAUUUGAGGGAGAGGCAUAAGCUAACAUACUUUUUCUACUUGGAUCAUAUGCACUUAUGAUUGGAACUCUAGCAAGCAUCCGCAAAUACUAAAGAUUCAUUAAGGUAAAACCCAACCAUAGCAUUAAAGUAUCAAGUCCCCUUUAUCCCAUACGCAAACAACCUACUUACUCGGGUCUAUGCUUCUGUCACUCACGCCACCCACCAUAAGCAAAUCAUAAACAUAUUGCAAACCCUACAGCGGGAAUCCCUCACGCUUGCGCGACACGGAGGGCACAAUAGGACAACACCAAUAAUAAAACAUGCAACUCAAACCAAUCAUAGCAAUUCAUCAAUCACCGAUAGGACAACGAAAAUCUACUCAGACUUCAUAGGAUGGCAACACAUCGUUGGAAAAUAAUAUGAAGCAUAAAGCACCAUGUUCAAGUAGAGGGUACAACGGGUUGCGGGAGAGUGGACCGCUGAAUAUAGAUGGGGGAAGGUGAUGGAGAUGUUGGUGAAGAUGGCGGAGGUGUUGGUGAAGAUCGCGAUGAUGAUGAUGCCCCCCAGGGGCGUUCCGGCGCCACCGGAAGCAAGGGGGAGAGAGCCCCCCUUCUUCUUCUUCUUCCUUGACCUUCUCCCUAGAUGGGAGAAGGGUUUCCCCUUUGGUCCUUGGCUCCCAUGGCUUGGGAGGGGCGAGAGCCCCUCCGAGAUUGGAUCUAUCUCUCUGUUUCUGCGUUCUGGGAUUCUGCCCUGGCACCGUUUCCUUUAUAUCUGGAGAUCCGUAACUCCGAUUGGAUUGAAACCUUCGUCCAGAUCGUUUUCCAAAAAUUAGCUUUCUUGCGGCCAAAGAAGGGCAUGAACCGCCUUACGGUUGGCCCACGAUAUAGGGGGGCGCGCCCACAUGGAGUGGUGGCGUGGGCCAUUCUCGUGGCCACCUCGGGCACCGUUUCGCGUUGAUUCUUCCUCCCAAAAAUCACAAAUAUUUCAAAAUAAUUCUUCGUCCGUUUUUAUCCUGUUUGGACUCCGUUUGAUAUGGGUUUUCUGCGAAACAUAAAACAUGCAACAGACAGGAAUUGGCACUGGGCACUGGAUCAAUAUGUUAGUCCCAAAAAAUAGUAUAAAAAGUUGCCAAAAGUAUAUGAAAGUUGAAUAAUAUUGGCAUGGAACAAUCAAAAAUUAUAGAUACGACGGAGACGUAUCACUUGCCCAGCCAGCUCCUGAGCCAUAGCACCCUGUGAGCGUCUGCCAUGGCAACGAACCCAACACCCUGGGCCUUGUUGUCAAGCAGGUGGAUGAGAGCUGCCAUGAGAGCCUCGUCGCUAAAGCCACCCUGGGUCAUGACAGCGCCAUACAGGUCAGGGUGGACGUCGAGGAGCUUGCACUCCCUGAUGGCUAUUUCCACCUCCUUCACCGCCUCAGUCAUGCUGCAAAAGACAUUGAUCUCCUCCUCCACCAGGCCUUCUCUCUUCCUCUUCCUAUCAUGGACGGGGUCAAAUGGCUUGUCAAAGGGCUUCGCAUCUGGCUUGUCAGGGCCAUCAAGGACCUCGACGUCCGGGGUCCCAGGGAAGUCUGGCAUGGGAAACCAAGAGGCUCCCCCGAGCCCAUGGCAUGCUUCCCAGUUGCCAGCCCGAACGAGAAGAUGUGUUGCAUCUGGCUAUAGUUCUGUAUGAGUGUGUUGAGGAACUCAGCGUCCCUUGGGUGGUCCUAAGAAUGAAACACAAGUGUUGUUAGUUGCGAUUAGGAGUAGGCAAUGGUGACAACAUGAAAAGGAAGAUGGCUGUGAGCUAACCGCGACAUGGCCGAUGUAGUGCUUUGCCUCCAGAACUAUGAAGCAAGUGUUCUCAUCCCAUGAGGCGCCGCUAAGGUCUCUUAGCUUGGACACUUGGAUCCAUCGACCUCUCCAUUUCCUCAGGUGGUUGUACACCUGGGUGGCAGACACCUCCUGCCCACAGAACUCGAACACCUGCUUCGCAACGGUGUUCAAGUGCACCUCCUUGAAUCCCUUGUCAGUCAUAGCUCCACUAGAGAUGAGCUCACACAUCUUAUUCAGCACGAACGUGGACAUGAACGGCUGCCACUUCAUGUUGUUCGACCUACCAUCCUUCUUUGCCUUUGCUGCUGCCACCUUGAGUGCAGCGGCAACAGCAGGAGUUGGCUCAACGAGCACUACUGGCACAUAGAGGGAAUCAGGCGCGAACACCUCUGAAUCAGGUGCCAUCUCAGACAUAGGUUGCGAGUCCUCGACAAACAAUGGAGCAACUGGCUGUCGGACAGGACAAGGGCCCGACUAAGAUCUUGCGUCUGCAUGGUCAUGUCCUACGAUCGUAGCACGCAUUGACGGUAAGCAUAACACACAACAUACCAGACAAUCCAGGAAAGCAACAACAUACAUGUACAUGGUUCAUGACUAUCAUACUAAGCACAUAUGGUUCAUCGCUAUCAUACUAAUCAUACCGGAGAACCUAUGAGCACGAACAUACAUCAUGCUACAAAUGGACCACCAAUAGGUACAAAUCACGGAUGUAAGCACGAAUCAACACAAGCACAAGGUUCAACUUUAAAUUCUACUACUAAUCUAGCCUACCACAUGCUUGAACAUCUAGGCCUACCAUAAAUUGCAACCGUAGUAUAGCAAUCAACCAUAUCAGCUCACAGAUUAAACUACUAAUCAACCAUGCAUCUAGAUCAAACCCUAGCCGCAACUCAGAUCUAGCUAGAAGGAAUAGAGAGAAAGGGGGAUUGAACUCAGAGAGGCCAUGACUGCAGCUCGAGGACGAGGGGGGACGGUCGUGGAAGAUCAACGCCGGCCGGUGAAGGAGAACCGACGCAGUGGACCGCCGACCGGUGAAGGAGCACCGACACCGUGGACCGCCGGCCGAUGAAGAUGCGCCGCUUACCUGCUCGUCAGCUCCGAUGCGCGUCGGCGGGAAAGCUCGAAUGAAGGGAGAAUGGUGGCGGGAGUUGGGGCGGUGAAGAAGGGGGCUAAAUAGGGGUGGACUCGGCGGGAGGUGAGCCGAAAUCCUUCCGCCGAUUUUUCGACGACGCGGGCAAGCUCGCGCCAUCUCCCUGCUCGCACGAGAGGAGAAGCGCGUCGCCCUCCCCUGCCUCGCGCGAGUUAGGCUCGCGAGGACCUGGCCUGAACAUGCUUUAAGUUCCUUGUGAUGCGGACCACACAAUGAACGCAGGCUCUCAAUCUUUCCCGCACGGCAAGGCUGGGCCAUAUGCAGGCAACCAAACAUGCCCCAAAUCCACACUGACCAGCCUCCCACGGAGCCAAACCCCCGCGCACCGACCGAAACCAAAAACCUCGACCCGAGUCGCCUCCUGCCCGCACCCGGCACCUCUCUCCGCCACCGCCACCGCCACCGCCGCCAUGAGCGCUGGCUGGAGGACGCUGCUGCUUCGCAUCGGCGACAGGUGCCCCGAGUACGGGGGAACCGCCGACCACAAGGAGCACAUCGUGAGUUCCCCUACCUCUCUCCCUCCCACCUCGCCACCCCUUCAAAACCCUAGCCACCGGUCACAGUUCUCUGUACGGAAUACUCAGCUCUUGGUAUUGGGGGUGCAGAGUGGAAUUGGUAUCGCGGCGGCUCUCAAUGUGCCAAUCUGGCUGGCAGUCUGCGGAGAGAGCAGAAGAUGGGGGUGCUAGUGCUUUUUUAAUCACUAUUAUUCUAGGGCGCAUACAGUUCACCGCCUGUUCUUAAUUAUCCAAAAGCUUUGCAGCCUUUGCUUUCGUUAUCUCAUUCCUGCCAAUCUAGUAUCGUCGCUCUCAACAGUUGAUUUGGUUCCCAGGCCGUUGGAUCUGCUUCUUGCAUUUAGAUACAGCAAGUUGGCUCAAUAUGAGACCAAACUUGGGUUGCGACCUACUACUAGUGCCUUAGGAACUUGUCUGCUUGCAGUGUUGCACAUCUGCUGUCACAAUUCAAUUUCUGGCCAUGACUAAAAAUUUGGACCUUGUUUGGACGGUUGCCAACUUUUGGGCACGCCAAUUCCCCUUUGCCUACUCUAGUACAUUUUUCUUCCCAACACUGGCCAAUUCAUGGGCAAACAGAACCUUGGCCAAAUUUGUUUGUUGGACAAGCCCGAGCUCAAACCAAACACAUUCUAUAUAUCCUACGACUACAUAUUGGUGUUACAGUAAUCCUAGGAUAGUUCCAGGGUUAUUAUUAUGUUAAGAGCGACAUAAAUCGUUUGUCACUUAUCCUGUUUCUAGUUGAACAUGCCCUCUAAGAUAAGUGAAAUUGUGGUACUAUUGGAUAGUACGUAAUGAUGAAGAUUACCCAUCUCUAGGUAGAAUCCUGAUUUAUUGCAAAUUGCAGUUUCAAUCAAAUGAUUACUAAAGGGUGCCAAGCAAGUUCAUAGGCACACACACAUUUUUCCUGUGAUUGUUUGUCAAUUUUUGCAACAUCGCAGUUGUUCCAACUAACGCACAAUGGUCUUAAUAGAAUGUUUGCAUUUUUUGAUCUAUCAUGCCAUGUUUCUUUCGCACCUGUUCUGACCAAGCAUUGGCUUCACAGGAAAUCUGUUACAAUGUGCUUUCUCGUGAAUAUGAACACUCCAAAGAUGAUAUUUUUGAGGUUGGUGUCCAACAUUCUAGUCUGUGCUUGUUCAUAUUAUUGUGCUUUUACUAUUCCAAUCUGGCUAUCUUUUGAUAAUCUACAGUUUUAAUUCUACAAAGAAGCAUUAGUGCUUAAUUGGUUCCUUCCCAGCCAUUGUUCAAAAAAAAAAAACCGUGGAGUAUGGAUCCUACAUGCUGCAUCCUGUAGCAUUUGCUUACCUCUUCAAUGCCUUCGAUACAUAUCGUCAUCUUUUAUCUGAAUCGAUUUGAGGUGCUAACUAAAUGUACCUUUGUCCAAGCAGUUUCUCCUUAAGUGUGCAGAACAAUUACCUCACAAGAUUCCUUUCUUUGGAGUUUUGGUAUGCAGCUAUUUCUAUGAAGCCUAUACACUUUGCUAAUUUAUGUUGUCUUCUUUCAUAAAUAUUACUCGUGGAUCAUUUGAAGUUCUUAUUGAAUCUCAAUACAUGUUUGACUUGUUGCUCAUGCUUUGAAUGUCCUUAUUAUUUCUGUAACAAAGAGGAAAGCAGCAUGUAUAUCAGCAUUAUAAACAACAUAUAUCUAGUAUGCAUAUUUAUCAUUUUGAGUUUCUGGUUGGACUUAUGAAACAAAACAUGGCCCUGUACAAGCAUACAGUUUGGUCAUACGCCACAGUUAUAGUUUGUAACCCUGAUCUAAAAUGUGAUCUAUAUGACUGGUGACUUUACAUUGUGAGUGAACUUUGAAGUUCACAUAUGCUUUGGCUCAUAUUCUGUUGGCCUAGGUCUUAUCAUGUUUACACAUGAUCUGCAUGUUAUUUUCUAAUCUGCGGGUAGGAUUUUGAUUAUUCUAGUGCUCAUGUACGACUGCUCAUUUAUAUAUCCUCUCCCACGCAAAGCUUGCCAUGCCAAAGCAAACAUACUAUCUUUUCAUUAUUUCCACAUGUUUUGUGCAACAAACCUGCUACUUAUAAAUAAACAGAGAUCAAUUGUGGUCUCUUGAUCCCCUUGGUACCGUGUAUGCUAUGGUGGGCGAUGAUGUCCAGCCGUUCGCCAAUACUUCUACGAUUUUAUUCUGUUGGCGUAUUUUUAUGUGCAUCUUUUCAUGAGAGGAGGGUAUGUCUAUUGUUUUAGGUCAAAUGAUGAAUUAAUCGCAACAAAAUUGGACGCACAGUAAUUUUGUAUUUGAGCAGUUCUCUUCCAUAAAGAACUGGUCUUUAUUUAUGACAGUUGGUUUUAAAACCUUCUGUACCUAACUUUGUAAUCUCACAUUAAAUUAACUUUUGAGCUACAUGUUUUAAGAACAAGAUGCUGCUAUAUGAUCUCUCUUACUUAAUUGAACUAAAUCGUUGUGAUGGUUCUGCUUUGUUCUUUUGUAAUGUCAGAUAGGUUUGAUAAAUUUAGAAAAUGAAGAUUUUGCCAAGGGUAUCGUGGAUGCAACACAGGCAAACCUACAGGUGCGAAUCUUUGUUUCUACAUCACAGAGCAUGAUAGCAUCUGUAAAUCCUUUCUCCCCCCUUGUUCCACUGGAGAAAUGUUCUCUAUGAUUAUAUUCCAGCAUUAUUGACUUAUUAUGCCACCGGACUUCUUUUUCCCAACUUUGGUCCCUCUUAAGAUUAUCCUAGCCUUGUAUUGACUCGUUGUAAUUGCAGGAUGCUUUGCAUACUGAAAACCGUGAUAGGAUCAGGAUAUUGCUGCGGUUUCUCUGUGGCCUGGUAAGUUAUGUAGUAGUUUUGGGUUGAUACUCUUGCUCAUCCUUUUCUAGCUGCUACCAUGUGUCCCAACUUGCGAUUUUCAAUAUCUCAUACCUGACAUAUUGACUUGUUAUAUUGGCAACACAUGUUCAUCAAUAAUCGAGCAGUGCUAAAGGUGUUUAGUCUCUUCCUGUUACACUAGUCAUGUGUAAUUCUAAACUAGAAGUACGAAUAACUAUAUGAUAAAAUUGGGAAGGGUGCUGUUCUGAGGGAAAUAAUAGUUGCAAGGUCUCUUUGGAUUGUAGGAAUGAAACACAGGAUUUCGAUGGGAAUGCAAGUGCAAAACUGAUGAUUGCAAAACAUAGGAAAGCUGCAGGGUAGUCGUUUGUGUAGGACAUAGGAAAACUGCCUUAGUUACUAAGCAAAUCAGUAGAAAAGAAGACGGAGUGGAUGUCAAAUUCCUAUAGAAUUACGGGCAUAGGAAAGCAAUCCAUACAAAUUCGUUAAAUUCAUUCGUAUAGUCAAACGGGCCUCUAUAGGGAAAAAUUCCUAAGUAUUUGCAUCCUCUAAGAAUCAUACGAUCUUUAAGGCAGUAGUGUUGCAUGCAUGUUACUUAUGGCUUAUUUGGGUAGCUUUGGCUUCUCCAGCCCAGAAACUGAAGCAGUACAACUCUAGAGAUACAUUUUUAUGAUUUAUAUAUAUAUCAUAAUUUGUAUAAUUUAUGAUUGUAGAAUUUGCAUGUGGUCAGCAUAUUGGUUAGCGCGAUAUCAUCCUUACGUUAGGCUCUGAUAUCUCCUAUUGCUCCCUGUAUUGAGAGCUUAUAACUGUUUCCCCUUUGUAUUUUCCUUGUUCUCUAAGGGGUUUUCUGCAUAUUGUAUUGUACCACACUUGUAUGUGUACAUAUGUUGUCCUAUGGCCACCUGGAUAUACAAGUUGCAUAUUUCCUAACAUGGUAUUAGAGCAUUAGUUUUUUCCCCGCACGCUCAACUUGUGCUCUUUUCGAUCCUGUCUCGUGCACCGUCGCUACCUUUCCCUUACUGGCAGCCGUUGUUCCUUCUCUCACGCUGGCCACCGGUCCGCCUAUUCUCCAUGCGCGCCUCCCGCCGUCGUUGUUCCGCCCUCUUGCGUAUCUCGCCCGCUCAUCAAGCUGGCCAAGCAACCUUCCACCAACGCACCGUUUGUGCCUUCCGCAAGCACGGCCCAUGCCAACACGUGCUCCUCGUCGGCUUUGCGUUUGACCGCGUGCGCUGUUCGAUCCGCUUGUUGCUUGCUGCCCGACCCUUCCGGUGUGCCUCCUCUCCAGAUCGAGUUGGCCCUGUAUCAGGUCAAAGCCCGUUGGCUCGAACGAGCUUGAAGCUCCGCUGUGUGUUGUCCCACCCCACCUGUAGGUCGUCAGAUGUGUAUUUCUUGGGGUGUGACUUUUGAUGAGUCUCUUCCCUCUAAUCACGUCCAUCUUCCUCGACCUUUUCAGUGGAGGAUAUCUUAGUCCUCACUUUUCAUGACACUCCUGUCAAUCCUGUUGAGCCCUUGUCCAUCUGUCCUACUGCUCCUGCUUCUCCAACUAUUGCAGAUUUGACGCCGCCAUCUCCUAUGGCUUCGUCACCUCGCUUAUCACAGGAUUCUACACCUUCAUCACCGGUGGCUUCCCCAUCUCCAUCACCUGAGUUUAUUCUAGUGAUUCCUCCUCGUAUUCUUCCAUCUUUUCCUCACUUCUAUACCCGCCGUUUGUAUGUUGUGGAUGUGUCUACUGAUGCGCCAUCUGCUUCUGAUGUGCCAUGUUCCUCGUCUCAUCCUACUUAUGGCUUGCGUCCUCGUCUGCUUAUGCCUGUUGACCGCCUUGGUUUUCCAAGCGCAGGCGUUGCUGUUCUUAAGUCGACUUCGUAUCGUGAUGCUGUUGUUCAUCCCAAAUGACAGCUUGGAAUGGCAGGCACCGACACGUGGGAUCUUGUUUCUCUUCCUCCCCGUGUUCGUCCCAUCACUUGUAAGUGGGUCUAUAAGGUUAAGAUUCGCUCCGAUGGUUCUGUUGAGCGCUACGUAGCUAGUCUUGUGGCUCGUGGCUUCCAGCAGGAGCAUGGUUGUGAUUACAAUGAGACUUUUGCUCCUGUGGUCCAUAUGACCAUUGUUUGAACACUUCUUGCCAAGGCCUCCAAUCGCCACUGGUCUAUGUCUUAGCUUGAUGUUAAGAAUGCCUUUCUUAAUUGUGAGUUGCGUGAGGAGGUUUACAUGCAACCACUGCCUGUGUAUUUUGUUCCUGACUGCAUGGUCUGCCGUCUUCGCCGCUCUCUCUAUGGCCUUAAGCAAGCCCCUCGCGCCUGGUUUGAACAUUUUGCCUCUGGGAUGACUGCUGCUGGUUUUUUAGCGUGUGCUCAUGAUCCUGCACUGUUUGUCCACCUUUCUGCUCGUGGUUGGACUCUUCCUCUAUAUGUUGAUGACAUGAUCAUCAUUGGCGACGACCCCGAGUAUAUUGCUUUGUGAAGGCACGCCUUAGUGAGCAGUUUCUUAUAUCCGAUCUUGGCCCUCUUAGCUAUUUUCUUGUGAUUGAGGUCUCUUCUACCUCUGAUGCCUUUUUUACUUCCCAAGAAAAGUAUACCCAAGAUUUUCUUGCUCGUGCUACUCUUACUGAUUACCGCAUUGUUGAGACUCCCAUGGAGCUCAAUGUUCAUCUCCGUGCUACUGAUAGUGACCCCUUGUCUGAUCCGACGCGUUAUCGUCAUCUUGUUGGGAGUCUUGUCUAUCUAGCUAUCACUCGUCCAGAUAUCUUCUAUCCUGUCCAUAUUUUGGGUCAGUUUGUCUCUGCUCUCACUUAGGUUCACUAUAGUCACCUCUUUCGUGUUCUCUAUUAUCUUCGUGGCACGAUCUCUCACCCUCUGUUCUUUCCCCGCUCCAGUUCAUUACAACAUCAGGCCUAUUCAGAUGCUAUGUGAGCUAGUGAUCCCUUAGAUUGCCGUUCGCUUUCUGCUUACUGUGUUUUUGUUGGUGGUUCUCUCAUUGUCCCGAAGACGAAGAAAAGGCUGAGUCGUGAGCUAUGGCUCUUUUGACGGCAGAGGUGACUUGGUUACGGUGGUUAUUUCAGGAGUUUGGUGUUUCUAUCACUACACCUACUCUGCCUUGUUUGACAGUACAAGUGCUAUUAGUAUUGCCCGUGACCUUGUUAAGCAUGAGCUCACCAAACAUAUUGGUGUUGAUGCUUCUUUUGUGCGCGCUGGUUUGCAGGAUCUGGUUAUUGCUCUUCAGUAUGUUCCUUCCGAGUUACAGUUGGUGGAUUUCUUUACGAAGGCCCAAACUAAAGCAAAGCACGGCUUCUAUCUCUCCAAACUCGUUGUUGAUCCACCAUGAGUUUUAGAGGGGGUGGGUGUGUUAGAGUUAUAUAUAUUUAGCCGUGUUCCCUUUUUAUUAAGGGGUUUUCUGCAUAUUGUACCACAUCUGUACGUGUAUAUAUACUGGCCUAUGGCCACCUGGAAAUACAAGUUGGAUAUCUCCUAACAAUAACAAGUUGAUUUUGAAUGCUUUUGCUUUGUUCUUGAAAAGAGUCGAGAGAUUUCUCUCUGUCUUUCCUUUCAUGGUAGAAUUUUUUUCUUGUAUUUUGCGCCGUAUAGACGAGGCAAUUUGUAGUGUUUCUGUUGUUUCAACCUUUUCUUCUUGUAACUGUAGAAUGUGUGUGUGUUUUGUAGAUGUGCAGCAAAGUUAUAUCCCCAAAUUCCAUUAUUGAGACAUACGAGACACUUUUAUCAUCUGCUGCAACUAUAUUGGAUGAAGAUGCUGGAAAUGCUUGUUGGCAACCACGUGCUGAUUUUUAUGUUUAUUGUAUUUUGGCUUCCCUUCCAUGGGGUGGUUCAGAAUUGUUCGAGGUAACGCUAUUAAACUAUUCUGGUACUGUUUAAUCUUUAUUAUAUCUGGAUCUUGUUUAUUGCGAGACGGUUAUUCAUUUAAGUCAGAGAAUAAUGGUUGUUCUAUUUAUAUGAGUAAUAUCUUUUAUGGUCAUGCAUUACCUUUGGUGUCCAAUUUGACUGCUUUAGCAGCAACACAUGAUUCUUGUUCUCUGCUUGUAUGAACCCCCAUUGGCUUUAUUAAGCUACUUUGAUUACUCCCCUUUUUUGUAGUAUGUGCGGUUCAAUAUGAAUGCCUCUAAGAGUUACGCUGGCACUGCCAUUUUGCACAUCUUAGUAAUAUUAGUGUUCAUGCACCUUUUCUAGUUUUUGAUCUUUAGAAGGGUAUCUUCAUUAUUUUCUAAUGUUCCUCUAUAUCAUUCCGUCAUCUAUUUGAAAGCUGCACUAUAAGCAUCCCAACAUAUUUUCAAGAAGUGAAAUAGGGACACUGCUCCUCUAGUAAGUAGCAAGACUUGUGCAUAUGGGUACCACUGACCUUGAAAGUUUGUAUGUGUCUGCACCAUAAAAUGAACAUUAGCCAUGAUUGCUUAGACCUUCUGGAAGAAUGCAUGAUCCACAUUUACAUUCUCGAUUUUGGGGGUGGGUGGGGGUGGGGUGCUCCCCACCAAAUUAUCGUUGCAAUGCAAAGUUAUAGGCUCCUACAAUGUACUCCCGUUCUUGAAUUGUGUAUUAGAAAAUUCUGCAGACAUGAAUCGGUGGUAGAAUACACUGAUAAAUUCUAACAUGCAGCAAGUCCCGGAUGAACUCGAGAGGGUUCUGGUUGGUAUACAGUCUUACAUAAGUAUCAGAAGGCAUUUUGAUGAUAUUGCUUUCUCAGUCUUCGAGACGGAUGAAGGCAACUCUCCCAGUAAGAAGGUACUGGCAAUUUCUUGAAUGUCUGAACCUUACACUGGUUUAUUUCCUGAAUUCCGGCCCAUUUAACUCCUUUUGUGAUAUUUUGAUCAGUUCAGUAACUUAUAUUCCUUGUAGGAUUUCAUGGAAGAUCUAUGGGAGCGUAUGCAACUUCUUUCUCGUAAUGGAUGGAAGGUUAAAAGUGGUAUGUCAGUGCAUGAUAUAAAAUACACACGAUUUCUUACUGAAAUAAUAUGCUGUUGGUUUUAAUAUUCAAGCAGUAUAGUGUUGAAUGAUAAGAUAACUUCUUCUUUAUUCAGCUCAGGACAUUAUACAUAAUUCCGAAUGUGCAGUUGCUUAAUUUGUUUUGCAUUCUGUUUAAUUGCCCCUUGCAGUUCCAAAACCUCACUUGUCGUUUGAAGCUCAGUUAGUAGUUGGAAAAUCUCACCGUUUCCACCCAGUUAGUUACCCACCACCUACUUUCACGAUGUCGUCUUCUGAGAUAUUAAAAGGGCAAGAGAUGCAUGAAGCCAAUCUAAAGUAUCCUCAAAGGCUUCGUAGGCUCCAUAUAUUUCCAACAAAUAAAGCUGAGGUAAAUCGCAACUUUAUGUAUAUACUAGUCCAUUGAGCAUUGUUACAUUUAAUGUUUUCAUCGCUGUCUUUUCUGUAACAUAUGUUAACUAACAUGAAAUUCGCUAUUACUUGGUUUUAUGUUACAAAGUUCACCUGUUUAUAUACUUAUUACGAGGCACACACCUUUAUGCUAUGUUCUAGUCCAUUGAGCAUUGUUACAUUUAAUGUUUUCAUUGCUGUAUUUUUUGUAAUGCAUGUUAACUACAUGAAAUUCGCUAUUACUUUGUUUUAUGUUGCAAAGUUAACCUGUUUAUAUAUAUAUACUUAUGAGCCCUAAUCAGCUAUCAUUUUCUUACAGAAUAUGCAACCUGUAGACCGUUUUGUUGUUGAGGAAUACAUAUUGGAUGUGCUGCUUUUCUUCAAUGGAUGGUCAGUUACAAUUUUUUCUCAGUUCUAUUAGUGUGUUUGACACUUGUACAAAAGCUGCGAUUGUUAGAUGUCAGGCAUCUGUUUGUUAAGUUGUUCAUGCAUGACAUUGCUGACACCAUGUACUCAUUGGAUUUGCUUGACAGUCCUUAAUGUGAAUAAAUUUGGUGUUCUCUAUCUUCGUAGUGCCGAGUCUUAUGUUCUCUCCCUUGGUUAACAAAAUCUGGCUGUAUUUGGAUGUGUUGCUUUUGUCUAUCAUCUCUUGUUAAGCUCUAGAAUUUUGGUCUAUAAACCUUGCUCCCAAAGUAUGCAGUGGAGGUGUUCUAACAUCUGUUUUAUUUUUGCAAGAACUAAUCCUGUCUUAUUACUUACAACACCUUGCUGUAAAUUUCUCCCAACAGUGUGGCAACCACGGUUGUGACGAACAAGUUGUUUGCCACACACGUGGCAUCAAAUAGGGUAUAGGGGUAAUAAAGUGUAUCAUGCCAAGCCAAAGGUUCUGGAAAGAGCUAAGCACAAGCCUAACAAUGUCGAAGUUCCUAACUCAACAACAAACAAACUACAACAACAAAGCCUUUCAGUCUCAAACAAUUGGGGUAGGCUAGAGUUGAAACCCAUAAUAUAUCGAAACCAAGUCAUGGUUCUGGCACGUGGAUAGCUAACUUCCACACACCCCUGUGCAUGGCUAAAUCUUUGGUGAAGUUGCCUAACUCAAGUGUGACAGUUUUACUUUUUUGCUAGCAUGCAAAAAUACCAUUUUAAAGACAAUAAUUAGGGUUGACAACUUUUCUCAUGCCCAUCACGGGAAAAUUUGUUGAAUUUUGUAUUUUGUGUUAAUAUUUGCCUGCUGAAUUGUAUUAUUUUGGUUUUCUUAUACUAAUUCUAUCAUGGUUAUAUUUUUCUUUGAAAGACAGUCGCAAAGAAUGUGCGUUUUAUCUGGUCAGCCUUCCUGUGUCUUUUCGGUAUGAACACCUGAUGGCUGAGACCAUAUUUUCACAGGUAUUUCUGAACCAUCUUUAUUACGUGUGUUUUAGACUAUUAUUACUAGUUUCUGCAUGUCUGCCUUCAUGUUAAGUGAACUGUUAUCUUUAGUUGUUGCAGAAGUGAAUCUUCAUGUUCCACUCUAAAUUUCUUGUAUGGCAAUGAUUUAAGUUAACCACAAUGAAAUGGGUAGUAAACCUUGCUUUUCUUGGUGUAUGUGUUGAGUUUCGCCCAAGCAUUUCCAGUGGAUCUGCUGAAUAUGACCGAUCGUUUGGGUGUGCUGAUCUGAGCUAAUUGUGGAUUGGUUUGGAGAUAUUAUUGUAGUAGUAACACAUAGUUUAUAUUGUGUAAGGUUUGAAAAAUUACGUCCAGCUGACCAACAUGAAUAAGUUCACCUAAGUUCGCAAAUUUUGUUCAAGAUCCAAUAUCUGUGUCUAGCUUUAUGCUUUUCCCAAUAUAUAUUUCCCUUUAUAGAGUAUAUGAAUUUUUAUGAUCUUAUACAAUUAUGGGAGGCUCAACGAACUGACCUUGUCAUACAAAAAUGAUCCUACUUUAGAUCAUUAUCUUGCUAACAUUGUUUAACUAUCCGUGGUAUUCUGAAAUAUAAUGAUGAUAAACCUAGAAAAGCUGGAUGGAAAACUUCAACCUGCUAUGAGUAUCUCUGAACAAGUGUAUUACUUCCGUGCAAUAGUUUCAGCAGAGUUUGUACAUGUAUAUUAUGAAGGACAAAAGCACUCAUUUAGGUACUAAAGUUAAACCCUUGAGCGUUCCUUCUGAAUAGUUGCCAGUUUGCCAUUUCUGUCUUCAUAUCGAUCUACUAAUAUUUGGGGGGCAAUUAUACAUGUAUUUCACAAUAUUAGAAAAAGGAGACGUCAAAUUUUGGCCGGCAUGAAUUUGGUUAUUAAUAAAUCCGAGUUGUGACUCUUCAGGCUGUUUUCUAUUUAGUAGCUGAAUUUUAAAAUUCCUUGGAAUACUGUCUUGUAGCAUGCCAACUAUUUUUGCAUUCUUUCUGAGGUGUUGGUUCUGGGCUUUAUGAUACCAAGUUGUAUCCUGGUUCUGAUGGAUUAUAGACACUAACAGUCUUAAUAGUUACCACUAUAUUUUUAUAAAGAUAUACUCCCUUUGUUCCUAAAUAUUUGUCUUUCUAGAGAUUUCAACAAGUGACUACACAUGGAGCAAAAUGACUGAAUCUACACUCUAAAAUAUGUCUAUAUACAUCCGUAUGUGGUAGUCCAUUUGAAAUCUCUAAAAAGACAAAUAUUGAGGAACGGAGGGAGUAGUUAGGAUACCUAGUGCAAUAUUUAUGCAUGCAUUUUGAGAUUCUCCAUUAUCCAUUAUAGUGAGUAUACUUGUCAAAUAAAAAUGAAUAUUUUCUUAUGACAUAUUGAUAUUCUGCAGCUACUAUUGCUGCCGAAUCCACCUUUCAGGCCAAUCUACUAUACGUUGGUUAUCAUCGAUCUUUGCAAGGUAGUUCUUCUUUAAUGCUUUGAGACUGUUUAGCUGAUAUUUUGUGUAGUGAUGAGACCAGUAUGCAAUGUGAGAUUUAAAAAUACAUCAUUGUUAAUGAGCACAUCAGCAGACCUAAAUAUGCCUUGAGUUCUAUCAUGGCCAUGCAGAUUUUGGUGCAUGGGUUGACCAAAAUUCUGUUACAUAAUUGUAUGGUUAUGAUGAGCACAGUUGUGAAACCACAGUUCCUUUGUUUCGUCAAUAGGACAGUUAUGAUUCAUUCAUAACAUACUUAAACAUACUGUUUACUAUUUGUAUUCGAAAGAAUGAUAUUGUUAGGAUCUAUCUGCAUACCAGAUUCCCAUUCCAUACUUGCUUAUGUUUUCAUCUAUACCACUACACCUUUUAUUUUUGGUAAACUAUUACCACUACACCUUUUAUUUUUGGUAAACUAUUGAUGCCAUAAUUUCUGCCUGUGAAAUGUGAAUGUAGAUCUGCUCUAGACUUUUGAACCAUAUAAUCAACGUAGAUGUGGAUGUGAAGUGUAGCACCCUCAAAUCGAUAGGUUCAGCGUAUUUACUUAUUUGCAAGUAAGCUUCCACGAGCUAAGGUUAUCACGAAGUAAUCAAUUUUCUUAUGGUUUCAUAGCAAAUCUGAGUCCUAGAAAAAUAAUUGAGCCGUCUAUUAGUGAGUUGGCUACUUAAACAGCAUAUGGAUAUGUCAUAUAUAGGAUGCAUGUUACACUUUUCACGUCUGUCAACUCACCUGAUUGCGACAUUUACUAGUCUGUUGAGUUGAUACCUGGACCAUCAGGGUCAUCACCACAAAUCGUUAUUUAUCCUCUCGCCAAAGAUCGGGACACCACUUGUCGCAUCAACACCAUACCAUUACCAAGUGUUCUGGAUGUCUUUGUUCAACAUUUAGAGAAUAGGCAACACAUGUUAGUGUGCAACCUCCCGUAGAAACCGGCUGGUUACAGUUUUACCUUUUUUCCUUCCCAUAAAAGAAAAUUGUUUUACUUUCUUCCUUGAGGAUGAGUGGACCGAGUCUAAUUAUCUUAACAUAUCUUCAGGCUUUGCCAGCUGCAUUUCCAUCUGUGGUGGUAGCAGCAGUACACGCUCUUUUUGACAGAAUAAGUAACAUGGAUACAGAGUGCCGCACCAGACUUAUCCUAUGGUUUUCACAUCAUUUGUAAGUUCAUUGCCAUGUAUUUGUUUUGUUCACGAGUGUUCCUGCUUUGGUUAUUUGGCCUAGUAUGAGUUUGUUGGAACCUCUUACUGCAGCCUAUUGGCUAUUGCUACUCUUCCUCUCGAUGUUGAAUACCCUGAUGAUGACCCACUUCUGCUACUGCUUAAAAAAAUUCCAUAAAACGUUACAUACAAUGCUAGUAUAGCUUUGCAACCAAUUGGUUUCAGAACAUAAUUUUUCUUUUCACAAGUUUGAUCUCCUGUAGCACUGAAAACAAACUGCAACCUUGUACUGCUAAAUCUUAAUGGCAUUAUCUGCCUACGCAGGUCAAAUUUUCAAUUCAUUUGGCCUUGGCAGGAGUGGGCCAAUGUGAAGGGCCUACCAAAAUGGGCUCCACAACGUGUUUUUGUCCAAGAAGUACUAGAAAGGGAAAUUCGGUUGUCCUAUUUCGAGAAAAUCAAGCAGGUUAGUGACAUAUGAGACAUUCCUUUUCUAUAAGGAGUUUUUUUUAACAAUUUAUUGUUUUGUGUUAGAUUUAUGCCUUGCCACUUUGAUUUGGUAAAAGGUCCUUUUUACUACCCCGAAGUUUUACAGUUGAUCGGAUAACCCCCUGAUCUAUAUUUUUGGUUCAGUUUACUCUCCUCGAGUUUAACCCCUUACCCUAGUUUUAGACUCUUGUUUGACUGAUGUGGAAUGGUUCUGCCACGUGGCAUCAUACAUGAACAAUGACAUCAUCAAAAUCACACAAGAUCCUGCCAAUCUACCAACUGUAAUAUCUUCUUCAACCUUUGUUCCUUCUGUCUUUAUUUGUCACCCCUUCUGCCCAUAUCUUUCUGUUUUGUACCAAGCUCAUCUGCUCCUCGCAGCCAAGAGUGGUAGCAUGUGCAUCCACCAAGCAGCUGCGCCAAAUCCAUUGCCGUGGAACCAAUGGUCUCGAGCACCAUGUGCCGAAGUAGGGGGACAAUAACUGCUCACUUAUCAAUAGCUGUGGUAGUUCCCUUUGUUUCCUGUCGUGCACUCUACACCUACCGUGAUCUUGCCCAAGAGCCGCUUCACCCAUUAGUAAAGAGGUGGGAAGUGAGCUCGAGCGACAAGAUCUGUGACUGGGAGGUGACUACUGGCUGAGACGGGAUGACUUGUUUGGCUGUGUCCAGAGUGGCCAUUGAACUCUGCCCAACCAAUAGUCGUGCUGACAUACAUCUUUUUCCAAUAUUGUGUGCUUCUCGUUGCCUUUGGUCAUAUUGCAUCCUCAAUCUUCUUCACCAAUCAUUUCCACAAAAUUGUUCUCCCAUCAUGUUUAUUACAUCCGGAUGACAUAUGAACCUGGCAUGUGUAUCAUCCCCUUGACUUUAUCAGUACCUAAUUCACGUGCCUGGUUAAACUCAGUUGCCUGCCUGCUCACAGAAGAGCAUUGUUGGCUUGUUGCGUGUGCAACCACUACUUUAGCUUAACGGCAUUUUCCUCGUUCCAGUUUAACAGCAUCCAUGGCCAUGGCGUUCCUCGUUGUCUCUGUUUUCUGGAACGAUGUGCCCAUCCAUGUAUGCAUUCUUUUUUGUCCACAGCUCUGAGUCUUGUGCACUUAUUGCCCACGUCAGCCAAACCACAAUAUGAAACCAGAGUAGGCUGUAUAGUAAAUGGUAACUGAAACUUUGGGGGAGAAAACUGAACCAAGAAAUAGAUGGGGCAAUACUUCAGGGGAGUAAAAAGGACCUUUUUUGCUUUAUAUUUGUAUAUCCUUCUACUCAAUUGUUGUGUGGUUUGGAAAUGGUCAUUUGAAUUGAAUUUAUUGCCUUUAUUGUUUUGCAGAGUAUUGAAGAUGCUGCUGAGUUGGAAGGGUUGUUACCCCCAAAAGCUGGCCCUAAUUUCAGAUAUCAUACAGAUGAAAGCAAAGAAAGCACCGAAGGCCACAGGCUAUCCAAGGAACUUGUUAGCAUGGUUAGAGGAAGGAAGACUACACGUGAUAUUAUUUUGUGGGUUGAGGAACAAAUAGUUCCUGCAAAUGGGGCCAAAUUCGCAGUUGAUGUUGUUAGUCAGACACUUCUUGACAUCGGUUCAAAAAGUUUCACCCAUCUUAUCACUGUUUUGGAGAGAUAUGGUCAAAUAAUUUCCAAACUGUGCCCAGAUGAGGAAAUGCAGUUAUUGUUGAUGGAUGAAGUCAGUGCUUACUGGAAGAACAGUACCCAGAUGACUGCUAUAGCUAUUGAUAGAAUGAUGGGUUAUCGCUUAAUUUCCAACUUGGCUAUAGUCAAGUGGGUUUUUUCUCCUGCUAAUGUCGACCAAUUUCAUGUGUCAGAUCGUCCAUGGGAGGUACAUUCUUAUCCUCAUACUAGAAGAUACCCCGCGUGUUGCUGCUGGAUUUUGUAGCGAUCAAUCUUUUUUGAUUAAUUUUUAGGAGGUCCGUAGAAUCGCAUUGGUAUACUUGUAGUGCUAACAACCUAAAUUAUGCAUUUUGUACAACUACCAAAUAUAAAUUAAAGGUUAAAGGACGUCCAUAGCAAAAGUAGGUAAAUCAUACCAAGAGAGCCAUCUUGAAUCAUUUAUAACCACCCUUUAGUUUGGUAUACUGAGCUAGAAUAACCCAGAAGAAAUUAAAGGCUAUGAUAAUCAGUGUGAGCAUGAAAAUAAAUGAUGGCAUGAUAAUAAAUGAUAGACCAGAAAGAAUUCAGAAAUAAAAUUGCAAAUUGUUAGGAUAUCUUACGUGCGUAUCCUGCAAUUUGCGCACUAUAUUUAUGGCAUGUUAUGUCCUAUGUGGAUUCUGUAGAGGACAAACAUGAAUAAAAUAACACAUCCCAUACAUGAAGCUGUUUUGGCAAGGAAAGUAAUGUUUUAUUGGUGCCAAGCCCUGAGAAGACUAAGAUAAAAUAAAUAUUUUGAGUCAAGGAAUAAGGAUAUGGUGAGCUAUAUAUUCUGCAAGUAAAUGUUUGCAUCAACCUGUUUUAUUUUUUGAUUGUGCAGUUAGUAUGAUGUAACAACAACAUUAGGUAAUCUGCAUUGGGCAUUCCUUUGCACAUGUGACAGACAUCUGCAAGUAAAUGUUUGCGUCAACCUAUACUAUAUUUUUUAAUCAUGUAGUCCAGUUAGUAUGAUGUAGCUAGCCACAGCAUCAGGAACACCAUAAAGGAAAUCUAUGGAAAGUGAGAAUAUAAAAAUGAACACACAAGCGCACUUGCCUCGGUGGUGAUGAAAGGCAGCGGCGACCUUAUGUAGUGCGGCAAUCCUAACGGGUGUGUGAGAAAAAAAAUCCUCAGCGGUGGAGGACCCUGCAGCUUUGAUCCUGGCUGGCCAUGGAUUUGGAGGAAGAUGCCAACAACCAUUUACAACAGCGGCGGUAGAAUUUUAUUUAGGGUCUGGAGGAAGCAGUUUCACGUGGGAUUACAGAAGGGAAGGGGAGGUGGAAUUGAAGAGGAAGGGGAAAAGUGCAACCUUGUAUUCAAUCAAACACUAAUUGAUAAGACUGUCUAAACGGACGUACACAACUGAUGAUCUUCUCAACAAAAAAAUAUGAUGGGGAAGAGAUUAUGCGUGACAUAUGAAUGGAAUUCAACAGUUUCCUUUUUUUAAGAUUGCCUCCAGUAGUAUCCUUUCUAAUAAUGGGAUGCAUGUGGUCUGGAGUAAUGGGCUGCGUGUGGUUACCAACUCGCUAGCAAAGGAAUAUUAAACACACAUAAUUAGAAGGGGCUACGCUGAAGCAGCACAAAGGUUGUGGAGGAGCAACUCCACCUUGCUGCUACAAUGUGUAGAGCACAAGUGUUGAAGGAACAGCUUCAACGUGCUGCGCUAGAUAUCGCUCUAGAGGCGAAUGUAGGCUGAUAGGGCAGCAAGAGUUCAAUCCAGAACUCCUAGGCUAUGUUUUUAAGGCGGUAAGGCGACCUAAGGCGCCCCCAGCGCCUUAUCGCCUAGGCGACGCCUAAGCGCCUAAGGCGGGNNN
rnacentral:lncRNA from 1 species